rnacentral:rRNA from 1 species
CCUACGGGUGGCAGCAGUGGGGAAUAUUGCACAAUGGGGGAAACCCUGAUGCAGCGACGCCGCGUGAGUGAAGAAGUAAUUCGUUAUGUAAAGCUCUAUCAGCAGGGAAGAAGGAGGACGGUACCUGACUAAGAAGCCCCGGCUAACUCAGUGCCAGCAGCCGCGGUAAUACGUAGGGGGCAAGCGUAAUCCGGAUUUACUGGGUGGAAAGGGGGCGCAGACGGCAGCGCAAGCCAGGAGUGAAAGCCCGGGGCCGAACCCCGGGACUGCUCUUGGAACUGCGCGGCUGGAGUGCAGGAGGGGCAGGCGGAAUGCCUGGUGUAGCGGUGAAAUGCGUAGAUAUCAGGAGGAACACCGGUGGCGAAGGCGGACUGCUGGACUGCGACUGACGUUGAGGCCCGAAAGCGUGGGGAGCAAACAGGAUUAGAUACCCGAGUAGUC